CUGAAGCUACAUAAAGUUUGGAGGUGUGUAGUGAUGAACUCUGAAGCUACAUGAAGUUUGGAGGUGUGUAGUGAGUGAUGAACUCUGAAGCUACAUGAAGUUUGGAGGUGUGUAGUGAUGAACUCUGAAGCUACAUGAAGUUUGGAGGUGUGUAGUGAGUGAUGAACUCUGAAGCUACAUGAAGUUUGGAGGUGUGUAGUGAGUGAUGAACUCUGAAGCUACAUGAAGUUUGGAGGUGUGUAGUGAUGAACUCUGAAGCUACAUGAAGUUUGGAGGUGUGUAGUGAGUGAUGAACUCUGAAGCUACAUGAAGUUUGGAGGUGUGUAGUGAGUGAUGAACUCUGAAGCUACAUGAAGUUUGGAGGUGUGUAGUGAUGAACUCUGAAGCUACAUGAAGUUUGGAGGUGUGUAGUGAUGGACUCUGAAGCUACAUGAAGUUUGGAGGUGUGUAGUGAUGAACUCUGAAGCUACAUGAAGUUUGGAGGUGUGUAGUGAUGAACUCCGAAGCUACAUGAAGUUUGGAGGUGUGUAAUGAGUGAUGAACUCUGAAGCUACAUGAAGUUUGGAGGUGUGUAGUGAGUGAUGAACUCUGAAGCUACAUGAAGUUUGGAGGUGUGUAGUGAGUGAUGAACUCUGAAGCUACAUGAAGUUUGGAGGUGUGUAGUGAUGAUGAACUCUGAAGCUACAUGAAGUUUGGAGGUGUGUAGUGAUGAACUCUGAAGCUACAUGGAGUUUGGAGGUGUGUAGUGAUGAUGAACUCUGAAGCUACAUGAAGUUUGGAGGUGUGUAGUGAUGAACUCUGAAGCUACAUGGAGUUUGGAGGUGUGUAGUGAUGAUGAACUCUGAAGCUACAUGAAGUUUGGAGGUGUGUAGUGAUGAACUCUGAAGCUACAUGAAGUUUGGAGGUGUGUAGUGAUGAUGAACUCUGAAGCUACAUGAAGUUUGGAGGUGUGUAGUGAUGAACUCUGAAGCUACAUGGAGUUUGGAGGUGUGUAGUGAUGAACUCUGAAGCUACAUGAAGUUUGGAGGUGUGUAGUGAUGAACUCUGAAGCUACAUGAAGUUUGGAGGUGUGUAGUGAUGAACUCUGAAGCUACAUGGAGUUUGGAGGUGUGUAGUGAUGAUGAACUCUGAAGCUACAUGAAGUUUGGAGGUGUGUAGUGAUGAACUCUGAAGCUACAUGAAGUUUGGAGGUGUGUAGUGAUGAACUCUGAAGCUACAUGAAGUUUGGAGGUGUGUAGUGAUGAUGAACUCUGAAGCUACAUGAAGUUUGGAGGUGUGUA